rnacentral:rRNA from 1 species
UACGGAGGGUGCAAGCGUUGCUCGGAAUUACUGGGCGUAAAGCGCACGUAGGCGGCUUUGUAAGUUAGAGGUGAAAGCCUGGGGCUCAACUCCAGAACUGCCUUUAAAACUGCAUCGCUUGAAUCCAGGAGAGGUGAGUGGAAUUCCGAGUGUAGAGGUGAAAUUCGUAGAUAUUCGGAAGAACACCAGUGGCGAAGGCGGCUCACUGGACUGGUAUUGACGCUGAGGUGCGAAAGCGUGGGGAGCAAACAGG